rnacentral:rRNA from 1 species
UACGUAGGGGGCGAGCGUUGUCCGGAUUUAUUGGGCGUAAAGAGCGUGUAGGCGCCAGGUAGGUCCGCUGUGAAAACUCGAGGCUCAACCUCGAGAUGUCGGCGGAAACCAUCUGGCUAGAGUCCGGAAGAGGAAAGUGGAAUUCCCGGUGUAGCGGUGAAAUGCGCAGAUAUCGGGAGGAACACCUAUGGCGAAGGCAGCUCGCUGGGACGUUACUGACGCUGAGACGCGAAAGCGUGGGGAGCAAACAGG